rnacentral:rRNA from 1 species
CUAGUAAUCGCGGAUCAGCAUGCCGCGGUGAAUACGUUCCCGGGCCUUGUACACACCGCCCGUCACACCAUGAGAGUUGGGAAUACCCGAAGCCUGUGAGCUAACUUAUAGAGGCAGCAGUCGAAGGUAGAAUCAAUGAUUGGGGUGAAGUCGUAACAAGGUAAC